rnacentral:rRNA from 1 species
AGUGAACGCUGGCGGUAGGCCUAACACAUGCAAGUCGAACGGCAGCACAGUAAGAGCUUGCUCUUACGGGUGGCGAGUGGCGGACGGGUGAGGAAUACAUCGGAAUCUACUUUUUCGUGGGGGAUAACGUAGGGAAACUUACGCUAAUACCGCAUACGACCUACGGGUGAAAGCAGGGGAUCUUCGGACCUUGCGCGAUUGAAUGAGCCGAUGUCGGAUUAGCUAGUUGGCGGGGUAAAGGCCCACCAAGGCGACGAUCCGUAGCUGGUCUGAGAGGAUGAUCAGCCACACUGGAACUGAGACACGGUCCAGACUCCUACGGGAGGCAGCAGUGGGGAAUAUUGGACAAUGGGCGCAAGCCUGAUCCAGCCAUACCGCGUGGGUGGGGAAGGCCUUCGGGUUGUAAAGCCCUUUUGUUGGGAAAGAAAAGCAGCAGGUUAAUACCCCGCUGUUCUGACGGUACCCAAAGAAUAAGCACCGGCUAACUUCGUG